GUCAGGAUGGCCGAUCGGUCAAAGGCGCUGCGGUCAUCACUUCUGUGGGCGUGGGUUCGAAUCCCACUUCUGACA